rnacentral:lncRNA from 1 species
AUGUUAAAAGGUGGGGACUACUGGGAGGCCUGUAGUCAGCAGGAGCACAUCCUUGAAGAGGACUGUGAGGCCUCAAUCUCUUCUAGUCCUUUUUCCAUUUUGCUUCCCAGCCACCACGAGGUAGGCAGCUGUGAUCCACCACACACUCCCCACCAUGAUACACUGCUUUACCACAGGCCCAAAAGCAAUAGGACCAUCCAACCAUUGACUGAACCCUCCAAAUCUAUGAGUCAAAAUAAAUCUUUUCUCUUUUCAAAUUGA